rnacentral:lncRNA from 1 species
CGUUGCGCUUCCCGAGUGAGGCAAUGCCUCGCCCUGCUUCGGCUCGCGCACGGUGCACGCACCCACUGACCUGCGCCCACUGUCUGGCACUCCCUAGUGAGAUGAACCCGGUACCUCAGAUGGAAAUGCAGAAAUCACCCGUCUUCUGCAUGGCUCACGCUGGGAGCUGUAGACCGGAGCUGUUCCUAUUCGGCCAUCUUGGCUCCUCCCUCUGAAGAGUCCAACAGAAAACUUUAAGUACCUGUUUAAAGCAAUUUACAAGAUACUGUGGAGAUUCCCAGCAAUAAAGAAUGUACUAUAGUUAAGCUGGAAUCCAACUCCUGAAUUUCUGGAGCCCUGAAGACCACUUAGUCUUACUCACAAGAAUUGAAUGGAAUGUGAAUCUACACUCAGGUGAAGCCAGGGUAUUUUGAACGUCCCUACAAGACUGAAGCACCACUGGGGAAUAAGUAAUAGAGAUGCCAUCAUUGUGGAAGUCAUAAUGCUUGUCCUGAACACGAGGGGUCUCUAGUG